rnacentral:lncRNA from 1 species
GGCUUAAAAGAUUCAUCUCGUCAAUUCCAACUAAACUAUGCAAUUAGUCUUUAUUUUCGUCUAUAUUUAAUACUUCAUGCAUACGUAUAAAUAUUUGAUGUGACAGAGAAUUUUGAAAAUUUUUAAUUUUAUAGGUGGAAGUAAACAAGGCCUAUAUAUAUAUAUAUAAUAUGAUACGAUGAAACGCUGCAGCUUGGCGGCUAGUUGAGGGCUUGAUGCAUCUAUCUAUGAUGAGUCACGUAACGUACAUAAGUUUCUUCAUCUAUCGCUAGCUGAUGUGAUUGGUAAUCUCAUAUGGAAAAUAAAGCUCGCUCUUGUAAGCUUCGAUCGAGACCACCGUACGUACCGUACGUACGAUCCCAAUGCAAAGCCACAUGUCCGGUCGAUCCCGUCUUGCUUUGUUUUUGGCAGGAUCGACAAGGGAUCGGAUAAGCAAGCGAAGUCUCGCACCAAGUGGCACCUAGCAGGCCCAAGCGCAUAUUCGUUUCAUUAAUAAAAAUAAACUCAUAUCACAUAUUCGUACGUAUAUAUCUUGUUAAAGUUAUGCUUUUUUUUGUCAGUAGGUUGUCCGCCUCAUUUUUCUUUUUAGGAAAACAGGGGCCUCUACUGAAAAUUUUUAUUAAAAACCAAGAGUAACCAAGAAGAUUACAACUCAAGAGAAAAAAAAACAAAAACUACUACUAGAGCGUGAAGGGAAGAACAGGUUCGAGAGACAAAGAAAGAAAAAAAGAAAAUUAAGAAGAUUACACAGUGAGCUCUAGCCAUGAUUCAGUAUCCGAGAAGUACUUCUUCUUGGCUCUGGAGCAACUCUAACCCACCUCCUAAACAAGUCCCUAUUCUAAAUCUAGGGACUUGAUUUAAAAAAAUCAACUCCAACCCACCUUCUACUUGGGCUCCCAUUUUUCAUGCCCUCCUAAACUAUAGUUUCAACCCCUCACAUCUAGAACCCCCUAUCCUACUUGUUUAGGAGGUGGGUUAGAGUUGGGUCUUAAUUUGAGCUCCUACUUUUUUUAUCAUAGCAUGUAAAUAAAAAUUUAAGGGUUUAAUUUAGGGACUUGGGUUGGAGUUGCUCUAAAGAAUGUCUCAAAAUUAACUUGAAAAGCUCAAGCCCACGUAGACAACAAGCGGGGAUACCUCUGGAAAUGGUGUCAUUCCUUAUGGUCCAGAUGCAGCACAUGAUGAUUAUGAUUUCCAUAAAAAAGGGAGUUUUGAUCUGCAUCUUGAAGCUUCUGAAUUUGAGCAAGAUAUCUGGAGAACUAAUUACCGUAAGACCAAUGAGACCCCAGCAUGAUCUAGCCAUGUCACAUUCAAGGAAAAGGUGUUGUCCACCCCAUGGCUGUCGAGGUAGGUAUGUAGUAGCCUGC